CCUUCGGACCAAAAUUGUUGUAUGGCUUGUGUGGGGCGAGGGGCACAACGUGAAUCCGUAAUAGGCCAUGGCGGGUGUCUUUUUAAGCAUCCAAGCCAUACAACAAUUUGGGGUUGGGAGCUGACGGAUAUAAAUCGGUGUAUGCUUAUUGUCGGAUGAUAUGGUUGCUUAUCGAUGUAUGGCUUGUGUGGGGCGAGAGGCACAASGUGGAACCGUAAAAGGAUCUGCAAGGGUUUCCCAAACCACACAAGCCAUACAUCGGUUGUAAGUCGGAUGUCGCUUAUCGAAGUUUGGCUUGUGUGGGGAGAGAAGCACAACGUGGAACCGUAAAAGGAUCUGCAAGGGUUUCCCAAACCACACAAGCCAUACAUCGGUUGUAAGUCGGAUGUCGCUUAUCGAUGUUUGGCUUGUGUGGGGAGAGAAGCACAACSUGGAACCGUAAAAGGAUCUGCAAGGGUUUCCCAAACCACACAAGCCAUACAUCGGUUGUAAGUCGGAUGUCGCUUAUCGAUGUUUGGCUUGUGUGGGGAGAGAAGCACAACGUGGAACCGUAAAAGGAUCUGCAAGGGUUUCCCAAACCACACAAGCCAUACAUCGGUUGUAAGUCGCAAAACAACCACAAUUGUUGUAUUGCUUGGAUGUGUGCGAGAGGCACAACGUGAAUCCGUAAUAGGCCAUGGCGGGUGUCUUUUUAAGCAUCCAAACCAUACAACAAUUAGGGGGGAUUAUUCUAGCGGGUUUCGUUCUCUUCGUAUCGUGC
rnacentral:misc_RNA from 1 species